rnacentral:rRNA from 1 species
UACAGAGGGGGCAAGCGUUAUUCGGAAUUAUUGGGCGUAAAGGGCGCGUAGGCGGCUUGGCAAGUGGAUGGUGAAAUCCCUCGGCUUAACCGAGGAACUGCCGUCCAAACUGCUUUGCUUGAGGCCGGGAGAGGCGAGUGGAAUUCCCAGUGUAGCGGUGAAAUGCGUAGAUAUUGGGAGGAACACCAGUGGCGAAGGCGGCUCGCUGGACCGGUUCUGACGCUGAUGCGCGAAAGCGUGGGGAGCAAACGGG